GUCUUGAGACAGGGUCUCACUCUGUCACCAAGGCUAGAGUGCAGUGGUGAGAUCAGAGCUCACUGCAGCUUCCACUUCCUGGGCUCAAGCGAUCCUCCUAUUUCAGCCUCCAGAGUAGCUGGGACUAUACGAAUGUUUUACCGCACCCAGUUCAUUUUCUAAUUUUUUGUAGAGAUGAGGUUUCACUGUGUUGCUCAGGCUGGUCUUGAACUCCUGGCCUCACGGAAUCCUCCUGCCUUAGUCUCCCAGUGGGCUGGGAUUAUAGGUAUGAGCCACCUCACCUGACCUGCGACGAUUUUUCAAUGAUGUAAUUUCUCUUUUACAGAGCCACCUAAGCUGAAGAUUCCCUUGAGAACAAGUACUGUCCCUGGUUUCCCAGUGCUGGAAUAUAGAAAAUGGAUGGACAAGUAAAUCCCACUCAGCACCCAUAGUCCAGGCGUGGGGACCUCAACACACCUGAGCCCCAGACAUCACCUUUCAUUGCGAGUAGCUCUGAGAUGACACUUCUGCUGUUCCCAAUUCCAGCAUUAAUUGGAUUAGAUAGUUAUUUUAUGAAGAAUUUUCAUAUGCCACAAUCCUGACCAUAUCUUCAAGUGAACAGAAAAAUUCUAUUAAAAAGUCAACCUUCUGUCUCACUCUGUUGCCCAGACUGGAGUGCAGUGGUGCAAUUAUGGCUCACUGCAGCCUCAACCUCCUGGGCUCAAGCAAUCCUCCUGCCUCAGCCUCACAAGUAGCUGGGACUACAGGUGCUUGUCACCACACCUCACUAAUUUUCCCAUUUGUGUUAUAUGUGGAUUCCACAGGACUGACUUCGAAAACUUGAGUAUGCGUGGAUUUUGGUAUACACAGAAAUGGGAGAGCUGGAACUAAUCCCCCCAUAUACCAAGGGACAAAUUGUAUCUGUUUUUACAAUUAUACAGUAGGAGACAUUAUGUUCCAUGACAAUGGUAAUUUUUAACGACAGUUUUUAAUUGAGUGAAAUUACCAUAAAAAUAAUAAUAGUAGCAGCUAAUAUUUACUGAGCUGUUACUAGGUGCCUAUAAAUAGCAUAGAUUUUUAAAUUCUCCAUAAUUCUUCCUUAUUUCACUUAACCACUCUAUCUUAAAUUACUCAUGCUUGCCUCAGUAGCACACAUACUUAAGUUGGAACAAUAGAGAGAUUGGCACGGCCUCUGUGGAAGAAUGACAUGCAAAUUUGUGAAGCAUUCCAUAUUUUUUUAAAAAAAGAAAAAAAAAUUACUCCCAGAUUUUCACUGUGUUUGUGCAUAUGACCUUUUGUUUAGGUUGAAUUAUAUCCAAAGGUGAAAUUUCGAGAAGUGAGAUUACUGUGAGUCACAGGGCAUGAGCAUUCUUAUUACCCUCGAUGUAACAUGCCUGGGGUAUCUGUGUCUUUUCCAUUUAUUUAUAGAGUUACUUUGUCUUUUACUAAUUCAAUGAUCUGUUUAAUCUUUUAUUAAAUUAUAAAAAUAAUAAAUACUUUUAAAUAAGUGAAAAAUGUCCUUCACUCUUUAGACCCAUAAUCUUAUCUCAGGAAAUAAUUGCAGUUGAGAAAAUGGGCCAUAUCCUUCAAGAUACGUACAUGGUGAUUGAACAUCACUUCAUAUUUUCAUAUUUCGUGGACAUUUGUGCCAAUACCUAUUGAUCUAUCUUAAUCCUUUUCAUGGUUGCAUAAUAUUUUAUUAUAUGGAUGUGUCACAAUUUACCAGUACCAGUCAACUGCUGGAGGCAUUUAGGCUCCUUCUAAUAUUUGCUUUGAGCUCUUUAUAUAAUUAAAAAUUAACCCCCUCAGCCAGGUGUGGCAGCUCACACCUUUAAUCCCAGCAUUUUGGAAGGCUGAGGUGAGAGAACUGCCUGAGUGUAGGAGAUCACCACCAACCUGGUCAACAUAGUGACACUUUGUCUCUACUAAAAAUUAAAAAAAAAAAAAUGAGCUACACGUUGCAGUGCACACCUGUAGUCCGAGCUACUGGGGAGGCUAAGACUGGAGGAUCACUUGAGUCUAGAAGGUUGAGGCUGCAGUAAGCUAUGAUCACACCAUUGCACUUUAGCUUUGCUAAGAGCAAGACUGCACUUCUUAAACAAAAUAAAAAUUAGAUGGGAAUAUUGCUCAAGCCCUGGAGGUUGAGGCUGCAGUUAACUGUGAUUGCAGCACUGCAGUCCAGCCUAGGUGAUAGAGCAAGACCCUUUCUCUAAAAAUAAAAUAAAAUAAAAAUUAACCUUCUAUCAUAUUUCCCAGUAACACCUUCCCUCCUACAUUUCUCCUAGAAGCCCUUAAAUUUUGUUUUUCACAUAUCGUUUAAAACUUUUAAGCGCUGAUGUCUGUCUGUGUCAUCCCUCUUUUUUUUUUUUUUUUAAAUGUCUUUUUGUCACUUCUAGCUGGACCUACCAUGAAAGACUUCUGAAUCCAGGAAGAGAAACUGACUGGGCAACAUGUUAUUCAGAUGGGGUCUUCUUAUGUUGCCCAGGUUGGUCUCAAAUUCCUAGGCUCAAGUGAUUCCGCCCACCUCUGCCUCCCAAAGUGCUGGGAUUACGGGCAUGAGCCAGCGCAUCUGGCCACCUUAUUUUCUAUUACUGGCUCAAUGUAAUGGCUCCAUCUCAGGAACAGCCAAUGAAAGAGAUGCACAGGACAAGAGAUGGGACCUCAGUAUGUUGCCAUGGCUGACCUUGAACUCCU
rnacentral:lncRNA from 1 species